rnacentral:rRNA from 1 species
GGGAUUGCCUCAGUAACGGCGAGUGAAGCGGCAACAGCUCAAAUUUGAAAUCUGGCCCUUUUAGGGUCCGAGUUGUAAUUUGUAGAGAGUGUUUCGGGUGAGACCACGGUUUAAGUCCAUUGGAACAUGGCGUCAUAGAGGGUGAGAAUCCCGUAUGUGACUGUGGAUCGAGCCCAUGUGAAGCCUCUUCGACGAGUCGAGUUGUUUGGGAAUGCAGCUCAAAAUGGGUGGUAAAUUUCAUCUAAAGCUAAAUACUGGCUGGAGACCGAUAGCGCACAAGUAGAGUGAUCGAAAGAUGAAAAGCACUUUGGAAAGAGAGUCAAACAGUACGUGAAAUUGUUGAAAGGGAAGCGCUUGCAACCAGACCUGUCCGUAGGUGAUCAGCCGCUGUUCUCAGUGGUGCACUCGCUCUGCGAUCAGGCCAGCAUCGGUUCGGGCGGCCGGAUAAAGGCCUUGGGAAUGUAGCUUCCUCCGGGGAGUCUUAUAGCCCUCGGUGCAAUGCGGCCAGCCGGGACCGAGGACCGCGCUUCGGCUAGGAUGCUGGCGUAAUGGUUGUAAGCGACCCGUCUUGAAACACGGACCAAGGAGUCUAACAUCUAUGCGAGUGUUUGGGUGUCAAACCCAUGCGCGGAAUGAAAGUGAACGGAGGUGAGAACCCUUAAGGGCGCAUCAUCGACCGAUCCAGAUGUCUUCGGAUGGAUUUGAGUAUGAGCAUAGCUGUUGGGACCCGAAAGAUGGUGAACUAUGCCUGAAUAGGGUGAAGCCAGAGGAAACUCUGGUGGAGGCUCGCAGCGGUUCUGACGUGCAAAUCGAUCGUCAAAUUUGGGUAUAGGGGCGAAAGACUAAUCGAACCA